rnacentral:rRNA from 1 species
GACUGAGCGGCGGACGGGUGAGUAACGCGUGGGUAACCUGCCUCAUACAGGGGGAUAACAGUUGGAAACGGCUGCUAAUACCGCAUAAGCGCACAGUACCGCAUGGUACCGUGUGAAAAACUCCGGUGGUAUGAGAUGGACCCGCGUCUGAUUAGGUAGUUGGUGGGGUAACGGCCUACCAAGCCGACGAUCAGUAGCCGACCUGAGAGGGUGACCGGCCACAUUGGGACUGAGACACGGCCCAAACUCCUACGGGAGGCAGCAUG